rnacentral:rRNA from 1 species
UACGGGGGGGGCAAGCGUUGUUCGGAAUUACUGGGCGUAAAGGGCUCGUAGGUGGCCAACUAAGUCGGACGUGAAAUCCCCAGGCUCAACCUGGGAACUGCGUCCGAUACUGGAAUGGCUUGAAUCCGGGAGAGGGAUGCGGAAUUCCAGGUGUAGCGGUGAAAUGCGUAGAUAUCUGGAGGAACACCGGUGGCGAAGGCGGCAUCCUGGACCGACACUGACACUGAGGAGCGAAAGCCAGGGGAGCAAACGGG